GUUUUAAAUAUUUAACCGAUCGAAAGCCUUCAGCAGAAACACUUUGAGCUUUUGGAAUCUCUACCAAUGAGAUGAGUUGAAUCAGGUGCAUUGAUUGGGAUCCGGUUACUUGGGUCGUUUACCUGUGGACGAGAUAGCAGCAGGAUGCACAAAGAAGGCAAGCCAGAGGCAUUUCUUGGUAGUUUAUCAGUGCAACCCAGAGAGAGGCAUAUUGAUGAUACCCAGAUGUUUUUCGUACACC